CCUACGGGAAGCAGCAGUCGAGAAUCAUUCACAAUGGGGGAAACUCUGACGGUGCGACGCUGCGUGGGGGAAUGAAGGUCUUCGGAUUGUAAACCCCUGUCAUGUGGGAGCAAAUUAAAAAGAGAGUACCUCAAGACGAAGAGACGGCUAACUCUGUGCCAGCAGCCGCGGUAAUACAGAGGGCUCAAGCGUUGUUCGGAAUCACUGGGCGUAAAGCGUGCGUAGGCUGUUUCGUAAGUCGUGUGUGAAAGGCGCGGGCUCAACCCGCGGACGGCACAUGAUACUGCGAGACUAGAGUAAUGGAGGGGGAACCGGAAUUCUCGGUGUAGCAGUGAAAUGCGUAGAUAUCGAGAGGAACACUCGUGGCGAAGGCGGGUUCCUGGACAUUAACUGACGCUGAGGCACGAAGGCCAGGGGAGCGAAAGGGAUUAGAUACCCGUGUAGUC
rnacentral:rRNA from 1 species